rnacentral:rRNA from 1 species
CCUACGGGAGGCUGCAGUGGGGAAUAUUGGACAAUGGGGGCAACCCUGAUCCAGCCAUGCCGCGUGUGUGAAGAAGGCCCUCGGGUUGUAAAGCACUUUCAGUGAGGAAGAACGCCUGGUGGUUAAUACCCAUCAGGAAAGACAUCACUCACAGAAGAAGCACCGUCUAACUCCGUGCCAGCAGCCGCGGUAAUACGGAGGGUGCGAGCGUUAAUCGGAAUUACUGGGCGUAAAGCGCGCGUAGGUGGCUUGAUAAGCCGGUUGUGAAAGCCCGGGGCUCAACCUGGGAACGGCAUCCGGAACUGUCAAGCUAGAGUGCAGGAGAGGAAGGUAGAAUUCCCGGUGUAGCGGUGAAAUGCGUAGAGAUCGGGAGGAAUACCAGUGGCGAAGGCAGCCUUCUGGACUGACACUGACACUGAGGUGCGAAAGCGUGGGUAGCAAACAGGAUUAGAUACCCUAGUAGUC